UCUGUGGUGUCUGAUAGUAAAGAAUCUGCCUGCAAUGCAGAAGACCCGGGUUCAAUCCCUGGCUCGGGAA
rnacentral:tRNA from 1 species